AUACAAUGAUGUGAACACCUUCUCAGCAAUUCCUUGUAUCUUUCCCAAGCUUCAUACAAUGACUCUCCUUCCUACUACACAAAUGAUGUUAUUUCUCCUCUCAGCUU